CCUGGCUCAGGAUGAACGCUAGCGGCAGGCUUAACACAUGCAAGUCGAGGGGCAGCGCGUUGUAGCAAUACGAUGGCGGCGACCGGCGAAAGGGUGCGUAACGCGUGAGCAACCUGCCCGUAUCCGGGACAUAAGCGGUGGAAACGCCGUCUAAUUUCCCAUAACAACGAGGGCCGCAUGGUCCAUGUUUGAAAGAUGCGUCGGAUACGGAUAGGCUCGCGUGACAUUAGCUGGAUGGCGGGGUAACGGCCCACCAUGGCGACGAUGUCUAGGGGUUCUGAGAGGAAGGUCCCCCACACUGGUACUGAGACACGGACCAGACUCCUACGGGAGGCAGCAGUGAGGAAUAUUGGACAAUGGUCGGAAGACUGAUCCAGCCAUGCCGCGUGAAGGCUAAGGUCCUAUGGAUUGUAAACUUCUUUUGUACGAGAGGAAUAAGGGUGACGAGUCAUCCGAGGACAGUAUCGUACGAAUAAGCAUCGGCUAACUCCGUGCC
rnacentral:rRNA from 1 species